GCCGAGGUGGUGAAAUAGGUAGACGCACUGGAUUCAAAAUCCAGCGGGCUUUUUGUCCAUGGGGGUUCGAUUCCCCCCCUCGGCA
rnacentral:tRNA from 1 species